rnacentral:rRNA from 1 species
AUUGAACGCUGGCGGCAGGCCUAACACAUGCAAGUCGAGCGGAUGAAGGGAGCUUGCUCCUGGAUUCAGCGGCGGACGGGUGAGUAAUGCCUAGGAAUCUGCCUGGUAGUGGGGGAUAACGUCCGGAAACGGGCGCUAAUACCGCAUACGUCCUGAGGGAGAAAGUGGGGGAUCUUCGGACCUCACGCUAUCAGAUGAGCCUAGGUCGGAUUAGCUAGUUGGUGGGGUAAAGGCCUACCAAGGCGACGAUCCGUAACUGGUCUGAGAGGAUGAUCAGUCACACUGGAACUGAGACACGGUCCAGACUCCUACGGGAGGCAGCAGUGGGGAAUAUCGGACAAUGGGCGAAAGCCUGAUCCAGCCAUGCCGCGUGUGUGAAGAAGGUCUUCGGAUUGUAAAGCACUUUAAGUUGGGAGGAAGGGCAGUAAGUUAAUACCUUGCUGUUUUGACGUUACCAACAGAAUAAGCACCGGCUAACUUCGU